AAAUAGAAGAAAACUUUGUUCGUGAGAAGAGGAAGAAAGAGAGAAUUGUUUGUACCGUGUUCUUCUUUCUUGAAGGUAUGAAGGUUCAAGGAACCUUCCAAAGGUUAUCUUUGUUUCCUCCAUUUGUGCCUCACACACUCCUCCAUCGAAGUCGUCAUGGAUCCUUCAUUCGAAGUCGUCAUGGACAUCACUUUUUCCCAUUCGAACCCCUUACCUCGCUGUUGUUAGACUUACUUUUCCGCCACGGCGCACACCGUUGUUUGCUUACCAGUUCCACUGUCUCAUAGAUCAAGUCACACUAUCUCAGAUCCAAUCGCACCGCCAAGGAGUCUUGGGUCUCAAUCGCACUGCGCGUUGCUCCGAGUAGGUGGUUUUAUAAAAGCCCUCCAUCCCAAUUGAGACGCCCACAAAUCCGAGGAGGACCAAGACACUGGCUCAUGACACCCUAUCUUCGAGCCUCCCGCCGAAGACCCCCAACCUCUCUCAAAAUAUGAUGUCAUCUAUAACUCCGUUGUCAACAAGCUCGUGUCUGGUAGCCCCGCUCUCAUUGAAGACGACACCAUAGAGAUUAUUGUCGCAGUGGAGAUUGGCCACUCGUCGCACAAUCAGUUCUAGGGUUUAUUUGGGAAAUGUGGUCUUGUGAGAGAGGGAAGCAAUGGGAAGGCAUUUUUAUAUCACCACUUCAUCACUGAGGGUGGCAACAUGCAGUCCAAGAUAGCUUUGGCUUAUAAGUAUACACACCAAGACGCAAAGACUAUUUUAAAGAGGUUGUAGAGAAUGACGAGGUAGGGGGCACUAUAAAUUGGAUGUCAUGUAUCUCAAGAGUAUUGGAGUUAAGAAGGAUGUUAAGUUGGCUUGCAAGUUCUUUAUGGUGACUGCUAACAAUGGUCAAACAAAGACGUUUUACCAAUUGGAUAAGAUUUUCCACAAUGGUGUUGGGUUCAAGAAGAAUAUUCACUUGUAAGUUGGUUAAUAUUCUUUCUUUUGUAAAAGUCUUGGUAAAUCUGUGAAUUACUAUAUUCAACAGUUAGUAUGCUUUAGGUGUCCAUGUAAUUCCAUUUAAUAAUGAGUAGUGCAUGAAUCAAUAAAUAUAAAA